rnacentral:tRNA from 1 species
GGGGGUUUAGCUCAGCUGGGAGAGCAACAGCCUUACAAGCUGUGGGUCGUGGGUUCGAGCCCCUCAACCCCCACCA